AGAGUUUGAUCCUGGCUCAGAAUCAACGCUGGCGGCGCGCCUAACACAUGCAAGUCGAGCGAGAAAGGGGGCAACCCUGAGUAAAGCGGCGUACGGGUGAGUAACACGUGGAUUAUCUACCUCUUAGUGGGGCAUACCUCUGGGAAACCGGAGACAAUACCGCAUAAGUUCGAGAGAAGAAAGCAGCAAUGCGCUGAGAGAAGAGUCCGCGGCCGAUUAGCUAGAUGGCGGGGUAAUGGCCCACCAUGGCGACGAUCGGUAGCCGGCCUGAGAGGGCACACGGCCACACUGGCACUGAAACACGGGCCAGACUCCUACGGGAGGCAGCAGUGGGGAAUCUUGCACAAUGGAGGAAACUCUGAUGCAGCGACGCCGCGUGGACGACGAAGCCCUUCGGGGUGUAAAGUCCUUUCGACCGGAACGAUAAUGACGGUACCGGUGGAAGAAGCUGCGGCUAACUACGUGCCAGCAGCCGCGGUAAUACGUAGGCAGCAAGCGUUGUUCGGAAUUAUUGGGCGUAAAGAGCUCGUAGGCGGUUUGCCAAGUUUGGUGUGAAAUCUCCCGGCUUAACUGGGAGGGUGCGCCGAAUACUAGCAGGCUAGAGUACGGGAGAGGAAAGCGGAAUUCCUGGUGUAGCGGUGAAAUGCGUAGAUAUCAGGAGGAACACCUGCGGUGUAGACGGCUUUCUGGACCGAAACUGACGCUGAGGAGCGAAAGCGUGGGUAGCAAACAGGAUUAGAUACCCUGGUAGUCAAGGGCG
rnacentral:rRNA from 1 species